rnacentral:rRNA from 1 species
GGGGGGAGCAAGCGUUGUUCGGAUUUACUGGGCGUAAAGGGCGCGUAGGCGGCCACCGCAAGUCGACUGUGAAAUCUCCGGGCUUAACCCGGAAAGGUCAGCCGAUACUGCGGGGCUAGAGUGCAGAAGGGGCAACUGGAAUUCUCGGUGUAGUGGUGAAAUGCGUAGAUAUCGAGAGGAACACCUGCGGCGAAGGCGGGUUGCUGGGCUGACACUGACGCUGAGGCGCGAAAGCUAGGGGAGCGAACGGGAUUAGAUACCCCGGUAGUCCUAGCCUUAAACGAUGAAUGCUUGGUGUCUGGGGUUUUAUAGUCCCCGGGUGCCGUCGCUAACGCUUUAAGCAUUCCGCCUGGGGAGUACGGUCGCAAGACUG